UACGUAUGUGGCAAGCGUUAUCCGGAUUUAUUGGGUGUAAAGGGCGUGUAGGCGGGAGCGCAAGUCAGAUGUGAAAACUCAGGGCUCAACCCUGAGCCUGCAUUUGAAACUGUGUUUCUUGAGUGCUGGAGAGGCAAUCGGAAUUCCGUGUGUAGCGGUGAAAUGCGUAGAUAUACGGAGGAACACCAGUGGCGAAGGCGGAUUGCUGGACAGUAACUGACGCUGAGGCGCGAAAGCGUGGGGAGCAAACAGG
rnacentral:rRNA from 1 species